CUGAAACGUUUGUAGAUGUUAAAAACGUACAAGGAGGAUUUCAAAUGAGCUCAAACGGAGCCCCCUCUUUCGCAUGCACAUAUAUUAUCCGACGGACGUCAAUCUGCGACACAUAUGUUCACGGAGCUACGCAGGGGUUGUUUUCAAACCACAUGCAAAUGUUUUCAAAGGGGAGUCUGCAGGAAACACAUUCGUCUGACAGCUGCAAUUCUUACUUUGCAGAGGAGCCUUUAGCACACAGAACCUCAGAUGAGCUCAUACCGUGCGGUACCAGGCACACAUCGGAACUACCCAACAUGGCACCACCUACAACUCUGAAAUAUGGACUUGUAGAGCUUGCUAUAUAUACAACUUUUGACACCACUGGCAAUAUGGUAUUUGAACGUGCAAACCUCAGGCUCAAAUGUGGGAUUUGUGUUUGGGAAAUGAUGCGAGGUUCCAGGGUUGUUUGUAUUGUCACUGUGAAACAACUGAAUGCAG
ensembl:lncRNA